rnacentral:misc_RNA from 1 species
AGUAUUCGUUAAACUCGCUCCUAUGUUACGGUUUUUGUUUACAUUUGACAUACAUAAAAGUGGAUUGAAGUUGGUUGAAUCGUUGAGAGUUGAUUACGCAAUGUUUAUAGUAAAUUAAAUCUAAAAAUUUGCAUCUAGUUUCCUAGUGAGAGAGAUCAUUAUGUCGUCAAAAUUACAGCAGCUGAAAACAAAAGGUUUAGCAGAAUAUCGUAAAAGGACUGGUGUAGUUGAAAAUGUUGAAUCCUGCUUUUCUCGACAGUUGAAGGAAUCUUCUUUGCAUCCACGGAUAAUUAAGCAAGCACGUAAAAGUGGCAUGUUGAAUCUUUCAAAUCGGGGAAUUGCAGAAUUGCCUGAUGUUGUGUGGAAUAUUAAUAGUUUGACAGCUGAAGAAUCUAAAUCUCUGUCAUUAUCUUUGGAUUCAAGUGAUGAUGAACGGUGGUGGGAGUAUGUGGAUCUCACAAAACUAGUUUUAGCUUCUAAUACUUUGAAGUCAAUAUCUCCUGAGAUCUCAAACUAUCCUGCUCUUCAGAUUCUCGAUUUGCACGACAACUGCCUAUCAGAUUUACCUGAUACAAUCAGUGAGCUGCGUAAUCUCACAAAAUUAAAUUUAAGUCGUAACCAGUUUGAAUGUAUACCAGAAUGUGUGUUUCAACUGAAGUCACUGAAAAUACUUCAUGCCCAGUAUAAUAAACUCCAUUUUUUAAGUGAUGAUAUUGGAAGCUUGUCAUUUCUUGAAGAAUUGGAUUUGUCCAACAAUAAUUUAAAAAGGCUUUCUCAUUGUAUUGGUUUCUUGUCAAGAGUUUCUAAUUUAAAUAUUUCAAACAAUGAGUUAACAACUUUGCCUGUUGAAAUUGGUGACUUAACUGCUCUGAAGCUCCUUGAUGUUUCUAAGAAUAAGCUUAAAUCAUUACCAGAAUCAAUUGAAAUGCUUCGACAUUUGGAACAGCUUUAUAUUCAGCAUAAUAAUAUUGCUGCUUUUCCUCCUCUAUGUAAUUGUGUGUUGUUAAAAGAAAUUCAUGCAGGUUUUAAUAAUAUUGAUGUUCUUGGGGAUGAUUUUGUAGAAAGCGUCAUUGGCAUCAAGAUUUUGGAUUUGAGAGAUAAUAAAAUUUCUCAACUACCUGAUAACAUUUGUUCCUUGCAAGCUCUCGAAAGAUUAGAUGUAUCAAACAAUAAUUUGUCAAGUUUGCCUUACACUUUGGGUACACUUCCCCAUCUCAAAUUUCUUGCUAUAGAAGGAAAUCCAAUGAGAAGUAUCAGGAGAGAUAUUAUGCAGAGGGGUACUGUCCAACUCUUAAGAUGGUUACGCAGUCGUAUUGAAGAUCCAUCCGCCGUAGGGAAUUUAUCGCGCCUGUCCAUGUCUGAAAUUGAUAGUAGAAAUAUUAACAGUCCUUGUGAAGUUGAUAAAUAUUCUUUGAAAUCUACUAAAGCUUUGUCAUUGAGCAAUAAAAAUGUGAAUACCAUUCCAAAGCAAGUGAUAGAAACAGCUACAGAAUCAGGUGUCACUGUUGUUGACAUAAGUAAAAACAGCAUGGCUGAAGUUCCUGACUACUUUGAAAUGAUUAUUCCUCAGUUAACUGAACUGAAUAUGGGUUAUAACAAACUGAGUAGUAUUCCAUCAUUCAUUGGGCUUGGAACUUAUUUGCACUAUUUGGACCUUCGGUACUAUUUUACUAUAUUUUAACUGAAUAAUAGCUUGCAGAGUUUGCCAAUGGAAAUCUCUAAUUUAGUUCUUUUAAGAGAAAUUAAUAUUUGCUUCAACAGAUUCCAGUCUCUACCUACUAGUUUGUAUCAUUUGCAAAAAUUAGAAAUCAUAU